AUGGCGGAUGCCAGCAACCAACGAGCGACGGCUCACCACCACGGGCUCCCCGAUGAGAUCGUGAUAUGGGAGAUCCUCGUCCGCCUGCCCCCCAAAUCCCUCCUCCGCUGCCGCGCCGUCUGCGGCGCUUGGCGCCGCGCCACCUCCGCCCGCGAUUUCCUCCUCGCCCACCACGCCCACCAGCCCGCCCUUCCCAUCGUCUCCGGCUACAGUUACGGCGGCGGCUACUACGACCGAGACAUCAUCACCUUCGACCACCGGGCUGCCGACGCCCAGAUCCAACACGUCAUCCAGCUUGACGUCGAGAGGUUGUGCCGUCUGGAAGCCUCUUGCGACGGCCUCCUCCUCCUCUCCUGUAACACGCCUGACGCCUCCUGCCUCUACAUCUACAACCCGGCCACUCGUCAGCACGCUACACUACCGGUGCUGCGUGACUUAUUCAUGGUCUUAGGAAUGUACCCACACCGCCCUACUGGCGAGUACCGGAUACUACUUAUGUAUAAAAAGGAGAACAGGCUUGGUCCAGUCGUCGUCCGGGAACAUGAUACCUGCUGUAUCUUCACAUUGGGCUCCAUCCAGCCGCCGCGGAAUAUCGGGCGUCCGCCCGAGGCGGAGCAAGUGUGUUCACGCGGUGGGGUGGCUCUCAUGUUCCGUGGCAGCCUGCAUUGGCACCUAAAGCAACAUGGGACUGAAAGCAACAUGAUAGUGGUAUUCGACACCACAACUGAGUCGUUCAAGCAAAUGCAUGCUCCAGUGGCUUUGCGGCACGCUAAACUGUUUGAGAUGGAUGGCGUGCUCGGCAUGUUCGAUCGUAAUGAUGUUGGUUCUAUCAUCAAUAUAUGGGAAUUGCAGGACUAUGAAAACCAGGUCUGGACCUUCAAGUGCAAGAUUAAAUUACCGGUUAAUGAGAUCAUGGUGCUAUGUCGAAAUAUCAACAGUUAUUGGCAUGCGGUGGUCAUACCUGGGGAUGGUGAGUUGCUCGUGCUAGUCCAGUACGCCGAGUGGCUACUUCAGCUUGACAUGGAUGGCAAGUUGGUUGCCAGCUUUCAUCAACGGGAAGUCACUCCUACUCAACUGCAGCUCAAACAAACUCUUGUCCCACAUACUUUCUUUCCAGAUGGUUAUGUUGUGAAUGCAGUGCCUCAGAUCUGA
rnacentral:rRNA from 1 species